rnacentral:rRNA from 1 species
UACGAAGGGGGCUAGCGUUGCUCGGAAUCACUGGGCGUAAAGCGCACGUAGGCGGAUUGUUAAGUCAGGGGUGAAAUCCUGGAGCUCAACUCCAGAACUGCCUUUGAUACUGGCGAUCUUGAGUCCGGGAGAGGUGAGUGGAACUGCGAGUGUAGAGGUGAAAUUCGUAGAUAUUCGCAAGAACACCAGUGGCGAAGGCGGCUCACUGGCCCGAGUACUGACGCUGAGGCACGAAAGCGUGGGGAGCAACAGGA